ACCUAAACCCGAUUGAAAUGGAAAGCUCCCGCUUCUUCUGCGGGACUUAUAACGGAAAGCGGGAGGAGAC
rfam:Pedobacter ginsenosidimutans strain KACC 14530 contig06, whole genome shotgun sequence.